UACGUAGGCAGCAAGCGUUGUUCGGAGUUACUGGGCGUAAAGAGUAUGUAUGCGGUUGCGUAAGUUCGGUGUGAAAUCUCCCGGCUUAACUGGGAGGGUGCGCCGAAAACUGCGUGGCUAGAGUGCGGGAGAGGAAAGCGGAAUUCCUGGUGUAGCGGUGAAAUGCGUAGAUAUCAGGAGGAACACCGGCGGUGUAGACGGCUCUCUGGACCGUUACUGACGCUGAGAUACGAAAGCGUGGGUAGCAAACAGG
rnacentral:rRNA from 1 species